GCCCUUGUUGAAUUAGAACACUGCUGCUAAAAUCGAAAGCAUGACCCAGAAGCCACUUGCUCCAUGUCUGCAGUUACAAGGCAGAACACAGUUGCCAGCACCAAGCUACAGAAAGGAUAUCCCGCUGUCACUCAAGCUGGAGAGCAGUGGUGCGAUCACAGCUCACUGCAGCCUCGACCUUCCAGGCUCAAGCUGAUCCCCCUCAGCCUCCUGAGUAGCUGGGACCACAGGUUCAUGCCACCCCUCCUGGAUAAUAUUUUAAUGAUUUUAGUAGAGACAGGGUUUCCCUAUGUUACUCAGGCUGAUCUUGAGCUCCUGGACUCGAGCAGUCCUCCUCCCUGGCCUCUGUAGACAAAAGAAUGUCUACAUUUUUGAUAAAUUUUUGAACAUGUUUUGUUAAUUUAAUUAGAAUAGAAAGUUAAGAAAUUUGCAGAGCACGAUAACUCUGGAACUAAAGACACCAAGCCAAUACUCUAUCCCUGAUGAUUGCCAGAAACUACCUUCUUAGUAAUCAUACCCCCAUGCUAUUGGCUCUUUUACUCUUUCUCCCAUGAGUGUGCAGUGGAGUUUCUCAGAGGCUACAAGACACUGCAACAGAAUGAACACACACACAGCUGCUUCCUAUUAAGCUGGACAAAGACAAGAUUAGCAAACAUGCAAAAUACUUCCAUUCUCCUCCCUCAUUUUUUGGAAUAAUAUAGUUAUUUCUAUAAAAAUGUGCUCUUUAUAUUACCAUGUAAUGGAUUUAGUAUUUUUAAAAACAGGCAUCAAAGGCAUUUCUGUUUUAAUUUCUAAUACAAUAAAUAUUGAUGGAUAGGACCAUCAAUAAAUAAAAGUCCUUUAGAGGUAUUAAUAAUAUUUAACAGUAUAAAGGGGUCCUGGGGCUCAAAUAAUUGACAAUUACUGAUUUACGGCCAUAUGAGAAUGGUAACUACUUUCUUUCAAUACCUUUCUCUGAACUUAAGAUUAUCUGAACAUUCCAAGCUAUUUGCAAUUUGCACAUGUGCUAAGAAUUUCUUAUUUAUUACACAAGCAUUUUAUUUUUUAUUUUUAUUUUAAGCUCAGCAGUACAAGUGCAAGUUUGUUACAUAGAUAAACUUGGGUCAUGGGGGUUUGUUGCACAGAUUAUUUUAUUGCCCAGGUAUUAAGCCUAGUACCCAUUAGUUAUUUUUCCUGAUCCUCUCCCUCUCCCAACCCUUCACCCUCUGAAAGACACAAACAUUUUAAUAAGCAGGUUCUUAUUGAGACAAAUAUGCAUGUAUGCAUGUAUGUGCAUAUGUGUAUAUAUGUAUAUAUGCAUAUGUGUGUGUACUCACACACACAUGCACACACACACACACACACCCUUCUUUGCAAUUCUGCAAACUUAGUUCUGGAUUCAUAAAGCCUGUUACUUUCUCUUUAGGUUGCUCUUAUUCAGUUCAUCCUCCUCCCUGAAAUUACAGAUGUUAGAGAUGGAAAGUAAUGAAUACAGUUCACCAUAGUCUUUUACUUUAUAGAUGGGGAAACUGAGGCCAGGAGUAACCAGUCCAUGCUGGGAACUCUCCAAUGACAUCUCACACAAUACAGGGUCAACUUCGAGUCCCCCACCAUAGACCACAAGGCCUUGCAAGUUCUAACCUUGCCCAAUCUCUUUUAUGCUCCCUCGGUCCAAGUGCCUCUGUGAUGAUUAAUGGAGUCCUUCUUGGCUUCCUCCAAAGGGGCAGAACUGCUCUGGAAGGUUCCUCAUGGCAUUGGCAAUGAUCUUAUUCUGUGCUUCUUAAAGAGGUUAAAUUGAUUUGCUUUUGUUAUAUAAUUAAUGGUUAAGAAUAAAAUUCUGAACAUUUUCAAGGAAACUUUUAAUCCUAAAGCAGGUUUUGUGUGCCUAAGCCUUGGUAUGUUUUCCCACUCAACACUCAGAAAUAAGCAGGGAACUUUCUAAAAUAAGUAACUGUGUUAUUCUUUGUCCCCCCAGGACUUAUAUUUUAUCUAUAAAUUCAUUUGUAUUUUAGUUUAGUUUAUUUAGGUAGAAUUAAAGUAGUUUUAACUUAGUUUUCCCAGUGAAAUUAGAUUUUAGAUACAUGAGAAAAAGAUUAGUAAAUCAAAGACCAUUGAAUUUCCAUUGAUAGAGGUGGUCAUUAUUGUCAUCUACCCUCUCAGCCAACUUUGUCUUUAUUUAAUGGGUGUUGAAUGAAAUCUCUCAAAUGUACAGGAAAGUCUUUUGAUACUCAUAUCUUGUCUAAUGAAACAAAGCAUUUGAUCUUGGGUUCCCACAAUGGCCUGGUUUGCAUCUUAAAUCCGGAUUUACUGUACUCAGCGAAGAAGAACACAUUCAUUCACCCUCUGGUGCUUUCCUCUGCCCAUUGUUUCUUCAGUUUAUAUUUUCCUGCCCACCCAGCAGAAAAGGCUACAGCAACUACCCAUCCUCUAAAGCACUGAAUGCGUUUUCUCUGCCAGUCCGGGGAUCGUGAUAGAUGGUCACACUCUAGCCCUGCUCACCUGUGUAUCCAGAUCCUGCAGCUUCUCAUUGCAGGAUAUCUCGUUCUGUCACACACACAGCUCAGCCCCCUUCUCCUGGGCUUCCCCAGCCCCAUCACUGAGAGCCUGGCAAAAACAAACAAAAAAACAACAAACAGAAAACACCAAAAACAAACAAAAUCAAAAGUAAUAAAACAUACAGGCACAAUAAUAUUUGUGAUAUUUGUGAGAGCAUCAUUAACAUAGAAAACUAGGGAAAAAAACUAUGCAAAUGUAGUUGGGACUACCAGUAUUUUCUCAAGGAGUCUACAGAGCCCAGGGUCCCAGGAACAAUCCCUUACUCAAAAGAGAGGAAGAAAGCUGCAAGACUGAUGGGCCACAAGAGUUUUGUUUGAAACCCUGUUUUUCAUUUUUGGGGGUACAUACCUAGGAGUGGAAUUGCUGGGCCAUGUGGUAACUCUAUGUUUAGCUUAUUGAGGAACCAACAGGAUUCAAUGUGAUCAGGAGAGGAUUCACUGACAACAAACAAACAGAAAAAAAAACACAAAGGAAGACAGACAGACAAUAAACAACCCGUGGACAGUGGGGCUCUGAUGCACUGUCUCCCCCAGACACACAGAGAUCAGGCAGAAAUGAAGUUCUCUGCUCAAAAUGCCCUUUCUGUCUUCAACGCCAUGCAGUCUCAAUAGCAGAGGCAGCAUCCUUACAGGGGCAAAAUUUGCUGGUGGGGUUGGUAGGGAGCACAAAGUAAUACAAGCCUGGAUGCAGUAUAUAAACAGAUAUGCAAUACGUCUGCAGCAUAAACAUUUCAUGGAGGGAGGGAAAUGAUUAGGAAAUAGUCUUAAAAGUCUCCUCGGCGUAAGAGAGGUCAAUAAUGAAAAACAAAGUUGAAACACUGCCUUGCACAACAGUCACACACAAACACACAUAUACGCAUGCAAUCGUAAGACAGAAUAACAGCAAAAACAUCUAGUUAUAAUAAAGCAACUCGAU
ensembl:lncRNA